rnacentral:rRNA from 1 species
AUUGAACGCUGGCGGCAUGCCUUACACAUGCAAGUCGAACGGACGAGCGGGCCUUCGGUGCCGGCGAGUGGCGAACGGGUGAGUAAGUGCGAUCGGAACGUGCCAUUGAGUGGGGGAUAACGUAGCGAAAGUUACGCUAAUACCGCAUAUUCUGUGAGCAGGAAAGCAGGGGACCGCAAGGCCUUGCGCUCUUUGAGCGGCCGAUGUCAGAUUAGCUAGUUGGGUGAGGUAAAGGCUUACCAAGGCGACGAUCUGUAGCGGGUCUGAGAGGAUGAUCCGCCACACUGGAACUGAGACACGGUCCAGACUCCUACGGGAGGCAGCAGUGGGGAAUUUUGGACAAUGGGCGCAAGCCUGAUCCAGCCAUGCCGCGUGAGUGAAG